UUUUUAUGUAAUAAUGCUAUAGGCAGGGCUUACUUGAUCACUCAGAUACAAUAGUUUCUUUACAUCUGCACAGUGCUGAUGCAAAUUUAGAGUUAUUCUUGUUAUGGUAUAUGCAUGUAUUGCUGUUCCUGUUUAAUAUAUUGUAGCUCUACAAUAUAUUCUACUGAGGGAAAUCACAAGAAAGACUUUGAAACCCAAGGUCCCCAAAGAAGAUUAUGUGAGGCACCACAACAUCUCUGCCUGGAUUAUGGCAACACUGUCCACAGGAAAAGAUGCCCCAAUACAAUGCCUGCUGCCAGGAUCCGACCCAGACUGGACAAGCAGUAGGACACAGGAAUUGAUUGUACCCUUUUGUGUGGAUAAAGGAUGUCAACAGCAAAACUGUCUUCAAGAAAUCCCUAAAAGUGACCAGAUUCACCAGGCCCCACCCCUUUCAGAAGAAGCAGAGCCAAGCCUCAAAGACUCUGAGACAAGAGAAGCAACCCCGAAGAAGCAGAAACCAGCCAGGCUGCCUGGAAGGGUUACCCCAACUGAGGCACCUGGAAAGGACACUCUAUAACCUGCUGAGCUUCCUGCAGGCUGAGCAGUGUGCUCCAGGGUCUGGCUUUUGUGAGCUGUCUGUCACCCAUGCUGGGGUGGGCUUUGGUGAUGCAGCUCUGUGAGUCAUUUCUGCUCCUGUAAGUGAUCCCUCACCAAAAUCCUAUAUGUAAACCCAAUAAAGCUCAUUGCCUCACCA